UACGAAGGGGGCUAGCGUUGUUCGGAAUCACUGGGCGUAAAGGGCGCGUAGGCGGCUUUAUAAGUCGGGGGUGAAAGCCUGUGGCUCAACCACAGAAUUGCCUUCGAUACUGUAGAGCUUGAGACCGGAAGAGGUAAGUGGAACUGCGAGUGUAGAGGUGAAAUUCGUAGAUAUUCGCAAGAACACCAGUGGCGAAGGCGGCUUACUGGUCCGGUUCUGGACGCUGAGGCGGCGAAAGCGUGGGGAGCAAACAGG
rnacentral:rRNA from 1 species